CCUACGGGAGGCAGCAGUGGGGAAUAUUGGACAAUGGGCGAAAGCCUGAUCCAGCCAUGCCGCGUGUGUGAAGAAGGCCUUCGGGUUGUAAAGCACUUUCAGUGGGGAAGAAAGCCUUGGGGCUAAUACCCUCGAGGAAGGACAUCACCCACAGAAGAAGCACCGGCUAACUCCGUGCCAGCAGCCGCGGUAAUACGGAGGGUGCGAGCGUUAAUCGGAAUUACUGGGCGUAAAGCGCGCGUAGGCGGUCUGAUAAGCCGGUUGUGAAAGCCCCGGGCUCAACCUGGGAACGGCAUCCGGAACUGUCAGGCUAGAGUGCAGGGGAGGAAGGUAGAAUUCCCGGUGUAGCGGUGAAAUGCGUAGAGAUCGGGAGGAAUACCAGUGGCGAAGGCGGCCUUCUGGACUGACACUGACGCUGAGGUGCGAAAGCGUGGGUAGCAAACAGGAUUAGAUACCCGUGUAGUC
rnacentral:rRNA from 1 species